UCUAAGGCUGGCCGCCACACUUGGAAAUGUUCUCACAAUUUUAGGUCAAGGGAGGAAGUCUGAAACCUUCCUUAAGAGGGAAGGGGACUGAGAGCUCUCUAAAAUUUUUCUUAGGGUACCUCUGGUAACCGGGGCCUCCAAGGAGAGAAAGGAGAAAGGGGAGAGGAUGGUUUUCCAGGCUUCAAGGGUGAUGAGGGACCAAAAGGCGACCGGGGAAACCCGGGACUCCCAGGUCCCAGAGGAGAGGAUGGCCCAGAAGGACAAAAGGGGCCUGAGGGACUGCCUGGUGAUGAGGGCCCCCCAGGAGCAGCAGGGGAGAAGGGCAAGCUUGGGGUGCCAGGUCUCCCAGGUUAUCCAGGACGCCCAGGACCUAAGGGAUCUAUUGGAUUUCCUGGGCCCCUUGGACCACUGGGGGAGAAAGGCAAGCGGGGCAAAGCAGGGCAGCCAGGGGAGGAAGGAGAACGUGGCACACCG
rnacentral:lncRNA from 1 species